AAUGGUGAUUUUUGUUCAAACUGAUUUUGAGUUGUUUGAUAAUCAACUUAAAACUUAUAUUAUUAAUAUAUUUGAAUUUGUUUCUUUAAAAUAUCUAUAAUAUUUAAGAUAAAUUGGUUGAAAGUGGAAGUCAUAUUAUCAAUUAAUAAAAAAUAUAAAAAGUAAAUGAAGAUAUAAAAUUAAAAGCAAGCAUUGAUAUAUUAUAUGAAAUUAAAAUAUAUUAUUAUAUUGCAAAAUUUUGAAACAUUAAAAUAUAUUACAUAACAAUUUAAUAGAAUUUUUUGUUGCAAGUUGUAUCACUUCUUGAAUAUAUAAUAUAGAUAAAAGUAUAAUAUAAGUUACACUCAAUAAAAGAAAAUUCUAAUUUUCUAAAAUAACAAAGGAUGUUUUUUUGUUCCUAUCCCUACAAUGCAUGUAAAUCAAAAGUGAUAACAGAUGAGUUUGAUUCCUCUCCUAUAAUGAAGAAGCUAAUGGAGAGCUCAUAUUUAAAAUUGUAUUAGUUUAAUUUUAAAAAAAAAAACAUGAAAUCAAGGUUUCUCCAUCUUCACUAUGAACCAUCUAGAAACAUAUCACGAUUAACACUAUCUCUUUGUGCAGAUCCCUUCGCUCUCCAUUCUAAUUUAUAGAUUCAAAUUGAAAACCAAUGGAGGUGUCUUUAUAUGAUGUUAGAGAAACAGAUAGAGAAGGACAAACCUUCUGCUUUGAUAUCAAAUACAGUGGCGGUGCUACCUUCUC